UACGUAGGAGGCGAGCGUUGUCCGGAUUUACUGGGCGUAAAGCGCGCGCAGGCGGCACUUCAAGUAAGGUGUGAAAAUCUCCCUGCUCAACGGGGAGGGUGCACUUUAGACUGAGGAGCUAGAGGACGGUAGAGGGGGGUGGAAUUGCUGGUGUAGCGGUGAAAUGCGUAGAGAUCAGCAGGAACACCCGUGGCGAAGGCGGCCCCCUGGGCCGUACCUGACGCUGAGGCGCGAAGGCUAGGGGAGCGAACGGG
rnacentral:rRNA from 1 species